rnacentral:rRNA from 1 species
GAUGAACGCUGGCGGCGUGCCUAAUACAUGCAAGUCGAGCGAACAGACGAGGAGCUUGCUCCUCUGACGUUAGCGGCGGACGGGUGAGUAACACGUGGAUAACCUAUCUAUAAGACUGGGAUAACUUCGGGAAACCGGAGCUAAUACCGGAUAAUAUAUUGAACCGCAUGGUUCAAUAGUGAAAGACGGUUUUGCUGUCACUUAUAGAUGGAUCCGCGCCGCAUUAGCUAGUUGGUAAGGUAACGGCUUACCAAGGCAACGAUGCGUAGCCGACCUGAGAGGGUGAUCGGCCACACUGGAACUGAGACACGGUCCAGACUCCUACGGGAGGCAGCAGUAGGGAAUCUUCCGCAAAGGGCGAAAGCUUGACGGAGCAACGCCGCGUGAGUGAUGAAGGUCUUCGGAUCGUAAAACUCUGUUAUUAGGGAAGAACAAAUGUGUAAGUAACUAUGCACGUCUUGACGGUACCUAAUCAGAAAGCCACGGCUAACUACGUG